UACCAAUUAGCAGUAAGCAUGACUUUCUAACUGGCUCCAAGGGACAUCUUACCCAUGACUCAUACUUGAGCUUAUGAGAAAUUCAUUAGUGGCACUACCACCUGAGCCAAAGGCUUGUGGUUGGUAACAUGAUUUAUUAGCUUUCUAUGCCUUGAUUACUAUUCCUGGUUCUAUAUUAUUCCUCUUGUGGUAUAUACUACCUUAUUGCUGGAUUUAUCAGAGCCAAGGUCUUGGUGUCAGAAUCUGCAGUGAUAAUGCAGUUUGAUGCAUAUUUUAUAGAAGUGCAUAAAUGUAAUACUGGAAUUUUCUUUGUUUAUCCCCCUUAUCCCCCAUUCUGAAAGGAAUAUUAGAUAAGAAAUUCUUUUCCUAGUGUUCGAUCGACUUGAACCCAGUUGAGAAAAAGAUAAUACUAACAGACAAAAUGUCUUUCUUGUUGCAACAGUGCUAUAAACUAUUUUUCAUGUUUUGGAACAUAAUUCCUCUAAAUUGAAGGCAAAUUAGUGAGUCUUGUUCUCUUAGAUGCCCAAUGCCCAUAGAUUUAUGGCGUAAAGAAGUUAUAUUAGAUACAUAUGUUCUCUUAGUUCGAGUUAAUUUAGUACAGAAUCAUUCUCACUUUUAUUUGAGAGAAUUUCGAUGAUGAUAAAGAUAUAUUAUUCUCUUUCAUAUUAGAUAUUGUUUACCAUAUAAAAAAUUACAAAAAAAAUAUAUGGUUUAUAUUUGAUAAGAUUUUCUUACAUAAUUAAUACUGUUAGUGAAAAUUUAACUUUCAGCGACUAGUUUAUAAUUGACAGUAUAGACGUUUAUAGGAGAAGUAGAUGACUUAUUGUGUUUAACGUGAAUUUCUUCGAUAAACGUGUAUAGUGUUGAAUUUUGAUGAAGUUAAAUUUUAUUUAGUUAUUAAUAAAAAUUUGUCAUGAUACGUUGGAUCCGGUUGAAUUAUUUACAAAUUCUAUUUAACAUGAUUAUGAGCUAAUAAAAUUUUUUCACAAAAUUAUUAAUUAAUAUUAUCGAUUAAUCAUAUUAAAUUAAAAAAAUAGUGUAUAAAAUUUUAAUUAGAGUUUACUUUUCAUUAUUUAAAAGAAAUUUAUCAUAUUUCUAAUUAAAUUGAAUGUACAUUUACAAUUCACUUUACAAAAGUUUUCAAUUUAUUCCAAAGACAACUUUAAUAUCUAAUAAAAAAAAAAAAAACUGUCUUAAACUAACAAUUCUAAUAAUACUAAGUUUAUCAUAAAAAUAAACUUAGAACUCCAUUCCAAAUUUGGAUGGACUUACUCAAGCUUAAAAUUCCAAAUUGGCCA
rnacentral:lncRNA from 1 species